rnacentral:misc_RNA from 1 species
AUUUCUACUCAUAACUUCUGUGAUCUGCGUUUAAAAAUGGCGAUAUGUGACGUUUAGGCAGAUGUCAAUUUCCUCCGGUCGCCUUAUUCGGUUUUCAUCAGGAAGUGAGUGAAAAACUACCAAGAUUUCCCUAACAGAGGAUUCGAAUUAUUUGUUCGAUCAUGGUUGGCCCCCACGAAGAGCACACUAAACGGAUCACCUUUCCACUUGCUGCUGAAGAAGCGACUUCCAUCCCAAUCAACCCUGAGAAAAGUAUUGAUUCCAUCUUCACAGAGAUCGGUGGCACAUUUUCGCAAUGCACGGGCGAUCUGCAAGUUGCUAUCAAUUCCGAUGGAAAGGAAUCAGACAACCUAGAAGCCCUGCGAGAUAAGAUAGCGGUGGCUUCAGAUUAUGAGUUAUUGGCAACGCCAAGGGGGACCAAGUUCGUACCGGAGGCUACUGAGGAUGAAUUGGUAUUAGGGGCAUCAGCCAGUCCUACAACAGGUGAUGCGACCGGUAGCGAUGUAUAUCGUUUGCAUCAAUUUACUUCGCAGCUAGCGAAUUACAGUCAAGGUAGGAGGAAGGCUACACAGUUAAGUCCAGUUGUAGUUCCGACCGUUCCUACUUAUGUGGGUUUAGUAAAUCAGGCAAUGACAUGCUAUUUAAACAGUUUAUUGCAAGCAUUGUAUAUGACUCCAGAGUUUCGAAACGCACUGUAUAAUUGGGAGUUCGACGGAGCCAACGAAUCACGAUCAAUUCCAUACCAGCUGCAGAAACUGUUUUUAAGAUUGCAAACAUCCAAGAAGCCUGCUGUGGAGACUACAGAUUUAACUACCAGUUUUGGUUGGCAAGGAAGCGACGCGUGGCAACAGCACGAUAUUCAAGAGCUCUGUCGUGUAAUGUUUGAUGCGCUAGAACAUAAGUUUGUAGACACGAAACAAGCGAAUCUGAUUAAUGAUUUGUAUGAAGGCAAAAUGCUCGACUAUGUGAAGUGUUUAGAGUGCAAAACGGAAAAAUCAAGGGAGGAUAUGUUUCUGGAUAUUCCACUGCCAGUCAGGCCAUUUGGCAGUACCGUCGCAUAUAACAGUGUAGAGGAAGCAUUAAGAGCGUUUGUCCAGCCAGAGAUUUUGGAUGGGAAUAAUCAGUAUUUUUGCGAGAGGUGCAACAAGAAAUGCGAUGCGCACAAAGGACUGAAGUUCACCAAAUUUCCGUAUUUGCUCACUUUGCAUUUGAAACGUUUCGAUUUUGAUUACAGCACCAUGCACAGAAUAAAGCUGAACGAUAAGGUCACAUUUCCCGAAGUAUUUAACUUGAAUUCUUUCGUACCAACAAGCAAAAGUAAAGUAGAGCAUGGAAAUAACGGCGAGACUGAAACUGUGGUGAAAUGUGACGAUUGCAGUACAACUGAUUCUGGAUCGGUGGAUGAUGAAAGUUGCCAGGACACCGACGUUUCGUCUACAGUUAACGGACAUUAUGAUAACUGUGGAGAUAGUGAUGAAGGAAUUGAUGUCAGUUCAGGUAAUCGCCAAGACAAAGAACCGACAGGUCCAUACGUUUACGAACUGUUCAGUAUUAUGAUCCACUCGGGAAGUGCUUCAGGCGGUCACUACUACGCCUAUGUAAAGGAUUUCGACAAAAAUUUAUGGUUUUGCUUCAACGAUCAGAACGUCAGCCCGAUUACGUCUGAAGAUAUUCGGAAAACGUAUGGGGGUGGCCCCCAAAGGGCAUACUAUUCCGGGGCGUAUAGUUCAAGUACGAACGCCUAUAUGCUAAUGUACCGACAGAUCGAUAAAGAACGAAAUUGUCGAGCGAUGACUGUCAGCGAGUUUCCACCGCACCUACAAAGGCUGUUAAAGCACAUGCAACAGAAGGAUGAAGAAGAUCUGUUGAACCGGAAGAAGGAAGACGAUAUGGUCAAGUUGAAUGUUUGGUGCAAUCAUCCCACUUCGAAAUUCCUACAGGAAUUAAAGAUCUCGACAUUCAUGGAUUCGACAUUGGGUGAAAUAGCUCAGCAUGCUUACAAUCGAUUUAAACUGGACGGGUUAGUCAGUAUAAAUGACUGUCGUUUGGUUGCUUAUAAUGCUCAGCAGGAUUGCAUAUGCUGCAGUUUUGACUCCGACGAAAUUAAGUAUCAGGAAACGUUGCCAAUAGCCACUUUGUUUGCAUUCUCGGAUUUUAUGCUAGAAAUUCGCGAUUCUGGAACUGUGUGGAGAAAGUACCAUCCGGGUGGCAUCAACAUAAAAAUCUACCCAAUUCUCUUAAAAACCGAAGACGUUCUGAAUCCGGUGACUUUGCGAGUUGAUGCUUGCGCAACUAAAGGAACACUUAAGGAGGAGUUGGGUCAACUUUUAGGCACUGAUCCAAGCCACUUGGAAAUUGUCUUAGUAAUGUACAACAAACAAAUUUAUUUUAAAAAUGAUUCGGAUGCGAUCCAGUAUGAUGUCAAUUGUGCGAACUGUAGAAUAUAUGUUGCUGAAAUCGACGAUUCAGAUCCAGAAGAGGCCGAAUUAAAGAUGGAAAAGCUGAAAGAACUGGUCGAUAAAUUCAAUCAUAUGAUCAGUAUAAUAAUAUGUUUACCCGAUACCGAUGCGGCUACUUUGGAGAUGUUAUCCAUACCUGCUUUGGAUUUUAAUGAAAACACGGAUAAGCAGGACGCAACGAGUGAUCGAGAGAGCAAUUCACCUAAUUUACGUGUGUCGCCACAGCCUGGUUUAGGUGGCAUGUGUGGAGAUGGAUACGACCAGAGCAAUAGUGAGGAUAGCAGCUUAAGUGAAAGUGAUCGAACACUGAUUGGGGAUGCUCCAACUGAUUGCCUUGGACUGUCAUCCAGCCAGUCGGCAUCUCCCCAGGAUCAUCAUAUGGCAUCUCUAUCCGAUCCUUGCCAGGAUUCAUACAACCACGAAGUCUUGGGAAUGCCUAGAGACGAACUGAUGCACUGGGAUGACCCGGGAGAUGCUUUAAGCGACGAUCAAGGUCUCUUCUUUAAGGUUUCAAGUAUAGGAAGUAGUUCCAAUCGUGCAGACGAACUGACGGAUCACCAAUGCCAGUUAAUAGUCGACAGGAGAAUGACUUUCGAAGCCCUAAAGAAACAUUUGGAGAGUAUUUUGAGAGUGUCUUCGGAAUAUUUUAAAAUUUUCAAAUGUCAGAACGGAGAACAAACCGAAUGGACCAGAAUGAAAGAGACAAUGCAAUUACUGAAAGACGGUGAUGUAUUUUUGGUAAAACUCGGCAGGGUGUUGCGAUCAGGCGAACAGCUAUGUAAGGUAUAUCUUCUCAAACCCGAUAAUAUGUCCCCGAACAACUUCUUGUGCGAACAAGUCAUAUACAAUGAGCAGACCAUCGGAGACCUUAAGAAAGCGAUUCUCAAGUCUGCAAAGGCCCAAAACGGGUUAGAUAUUCCGUACAGCAAAUGUAGGUUGCGAGAAAAGCACUGGAAAAGGCCCAAAAAAGUAUAUUUGGAUGAUCAAAAGUUCGGUGUUGAUGUCUUUAUUGAUUUUAAUGGCGAACUCUAUCUACAAGAACUGACCGAACCUGAUACGCUAACUUCCACCAAUCAAGUAGUAGUAUUUGUGCGAAAGUUUAGUCCGAGCGAACUAACUCUGGGUCCAUAUCAAGAGGUUGUGCUCGAUCUGUUAACUAUGGAGGAUCUUCGAACGAAAAUUUUGCAGCUUUCCAAUAUACCGAUUUCCUAUUUGGACGUAGCCCAUGUGAAAGGAAACUAUCCUUACGACAUUCAUAUCUUGGAGAUACACAAUGAUUUGGAAUGGAAUCCAAAAGUGGAAAAUCUAGAUCAAUGGCCUUUAGCAAUUGAGGAUGGCUGUAUAUUUUUCUACAAAGAUAACAGGGAAGCUUUGAAAGAACUAACGGCAAAACAGAAGAAGGAAAUCAGUGAAGCUGAGGAUUAUAGACUAGGCAGACCGGUCGCCUGCAAUCGAGAGAGGGCUUUAAAAAUUUACGUUCUCGAUUCGUCUCCUAGUAAAUCUGAAGGCGACAUAGACUGACCUAAAAGCUACGAAUCAUUUAUGUACUGUGUUCUUAGCUGAGCAAAAUGGUGUGCCAGAGUAUGCUGUUGCCAAAAAAAUACUACCGGCAAAUACGCAAAGCUCGCUUUUUCAGUGGUAAGUUAAAUAUUGCUAGGAACAACAGCUACCAUCCCCGCCAUAUCUAGCUUAAACUAUCAAAGUGAAUGUUCAGAAGUGCAGUGCGUUAUUUUCAAGGAGAAAUCCUUUUAAAUCAUUGGUAAAUCGACCUGUCUAUUUAUUACUUCCACUAGUUGAACGUUUUAAAUUUCUCCCAGUCAAGACUUUGUAUUGCAGUUGUUUUAAAUUGGAUUUUAGUAUUUUUACCGAUUAACCAUCAAAUUAAUUUGCAAAAUCAAAACUAGCUGCUUGUUACGUGAAUCGGCAAAUUUGUCCAACCCUUUGGAAAUAAAAUGCAAAGAGGUAAAAAUAUAAUUGAAACAAUUGAUUUAUACGCAGAGUAGCCUACGACAAAGUGCCCAGGAAUGUAGCAAAAAUAAAAAAGAAAAAGUUCACACCCAUAUUUUCUUGUGGUUGUUUUCAACCCUUUCGUCUAUGCGCCAAUAAAUUACGGAGCAGGAAAUCUAUAUUUCUAAAUGAUCAAUUUUACGUUUAUUAUCCGUACUCAUGUUUUGUACUCGUGCAAAAUAUGGUCGUGCAUAAUUGCCGUAAAACAUAGUAUGCAAACAACAAAUUACCAAUAGAUUCGUAACCGCGUAAAAGAUGUACGGCCAUUUGCUCCGGUCAAUGUGACGGAAACAAGGGCACACCUUCCUGGGUAGUUUUUAUGGUGGGCCAACCUGUUUUAUUUGUGAUUUUUUGCAUUGUGUCGCAAAUCACCUUUUUAAGGUUUGUAUUUAUUACUAUAUUUACGCGCUCAUUUUUUAAGGGGUAUUGAUUUUCCGUACGCCUUCGUAUACUGUAUUAUAUUGUUUUUUAAUGCCGAGCAUUUGAUUUAGACCUAAACUGUUGAAACCGUCUUGUAUAAGAUAAUCAAUCAAUCCCUCGGUCUUGAAAUGGUCGCCCGCGUUUUACAAGAGGCGGCUGAGUCACUAAGUGUUUAUUAUAUUUUUAAUCUACAAUUCGGCAAAUAAAUAUUACUGUUUUUGCGGUGCGUUCCGUUAUAUGAUAUAUUUGUUGUUCUAGGCCGUGUGUUCUUCCUGUAUUAAACGUUGAUUGUGUAUAAUUAUUUAUCUCGUAUUUGACUGUAUAAACCACAAUUAUCUUAACAAUUUGGCCUACUCAAUCUGAGAGUCUUCAGUGUUUUGAGCAUGUUGUAUAAACAGCUACGCCAUCGCUUGUUAUACAUCUACUUUGUACAGAUAUUUAUUUGUAACUGAAUUAUUAAAUAUAAUGUUUAUCUAUA